CGAUGGAUAAAGGGAAGGAGAGAGAGAAGGAGAAGAAUAGAGGGACCUGGGUAAUAAAGAAAGCAGAUACUUUGCUGGGCUCCUGUUACUGUCACCUCUUUCUUUCCCUCGUUCUUUUCUUCACCUUAACACAGACUCCCUUUAUUUCUAAUGGAGUCCUAAGCAACCUGAGCUCUAACUAAGGGAGUGGGAGAGGUAGAUAUAGAGGGAGAGACAGGUGGAUGGAGGGGGACAGAAGGGUGAAGGAGAGAAGUGGUCAGCGGGAGAGAACUGAGAGGGUGUUAGAUGAAACGCAGAGCAUAAUGUCUUGGGAGCAGACAGCAGAGUUUAGAAGAAGUCAUGCAUUCACAUUAAAAAAGGAAGCGAGAGAGAGAUGGAGAGAGGGAGGGGGAGACGGAGAGAGGGAGAGACGGAGCGAGGGAGUGAGAGACGGAGCCAGAGAGAGUGAGAGACGGAGCCAGAGAGAGUGAGAGACGGAGCCAGAGAGAGAGAGAGACGGAGCGAAGGAGAGACGGAGCCAGAGAGAGGGAGAGACGGAGCCAAGGAGAGACG
ensembl:lncRNA